rnacentral:rRNA from 1 species
AACGAACGCUGGCGGCAUGCCUAACACAUGCAAGUCGAACGAGACCUUCGGGUCUAGUGGCGCACGGGUGCGUAACGCGUGGGAACCUGCCCUUAGGUUCGGAAUAACUCCCCGAAAGGGGUGCUAAUACCGGAUAAUGUCUUCGGACCAAAGAUUUAUCGCCUUUGGAUGGGCCCGCGUUGGAUUAGCUAGUGGGUAGGGUAAAAGCCUACCAAGGCGACAAUCCAUAGCUGGUCUGAGAGGAUGAUCAGCCACACUGGGACUGAGACACGGCCCAGACUCCUACGCGAGGCAGGAGUGGGGAAUAUUGGACAAUGGGCGAAAGCCUGAUCCAGCAAGGCCGCGUGAGUGAUGAAGGCCUUAGGGUAGUAAAGCUCUUUUACCCGGGAUGAUAAUGACAGUACCGGGAGAAUAAGCUCCGGCUAACUCCGUG